GACGAACGCUGGCGGCGUGCUUAACACACGCCAGUCGAACGGAAAGGCCCUGCUUUUGUGGGGUGCUCGAGUGGCGAACGGGUGAGUAACACGUGAGUAACCUGCCCUUGACUUUGGGAUAACUUCAGGAAACUGGGGCUAAUACCGGAUAGGAGCUCCUGCUGCAUGGUGGGGGUUGGAAAGUUUCGGCGGUUGGGGAUGGACUCGCGGCUUAUCAGCUUGUUGGUGGGGUAGUGGCUUACCAAGGCUUUGACGGGUAGCCGGCCUGAGAGGGUGACCGGCCACAUUGGGACUGAGAUACGGCCCAGACUCCUACGGGAGGCAGCAGUGGGGAAUAUUGCACAAUGGGCGGAAGCCUGAUGCAGCAACGCCGCGUGCGGGAUGACGGCCUUCGGGUUGUAAACCGCUUUCGCCUGUGACGAAGCGUGAGUGACGGUAAUGGGUAAAGAAGCACCGGCUAACUACGUG
rnacentral:rRNA from 1 species